rnacentral:tRNA from 1 species
GGGAAUUUAGCUCAGUGGCACAAGCAUUUGCCUGGCAAGCACAGGCUCCUGAGUUCAACCUCUGGUUUCCCC